AUUGAACGCUAGCGGCAGGCCUAACACAUGCAAGUCGAGCGAGCGGCGGAUGGGUGAGUAAUGUCUGGGAGACUGCUUGAUGGAGGGGGAUAACCACAGGAGUAGCUAGCUAAUAACGCAUAUACUCAGAUGUGUCCAGAUGGUAUUAGCUAGUGGGUGGGGUAACGGCUCACCUAGGAGACGAUCCCUAGCUGUGUUGAGAGGAUGACCAGCCACACUGGAACUGAGACACGGUCCAGACUCCUACGGGAGGCAGCAGUGGGGAAUAUUGCACAAUGGGCGCAAGCCUGAUGCAGCCAUGCCGCGUGUGUGAAGAAGGCCUUCGGGUUGUAAAGCACUUUCAGCGGGGAGGCGUUACCCGCAGAAGAAGCACCGGCUAACUCCGUGCCAGCAGCCGCGGUAAUAC
rnacentral:rRNA from 1 species